ACGCUGGCGGCACGCCUAACACAUGCAAGUCGAACGAAGUAGCAAUACUUAGUGGCAGACGGGUGAGUAACAUGUAGGUAUCUGCCCUUUGGCCUGGAAUAACACGAGGAAACUUGUGCUAAUACCGGAUAAGUCUUUACGGAGAAAGCUUUAUGCACCAUUGGAUGAGCCUGCACUUGAUUAGUUUGUUGGUGGGGUAAUGGCCUACCAAGACUGUGAUCAAUAGCUGAUUUGAGAGGAUGAUCAGCCACAUUGGGACUGAGACACGGCCCAAACUCCUACGGGAGGCAGCAGUGGGGAAUCUUGCACAAUGGAGGAAACUCUGAUGCAGCGAUGCCGCGUGAGUGAAGAAGGCCCUUGGGUUGUAAAGCUCUUUCGUCGGGGAAGAAAAUGACUGUACCCGAAUAAGAAGGUCCGGCUAACUUCGUGCCAGCAGCCGCGGUAAUACGAAGGGACCUAGCGUAGUUCGGAAUUACUGGGCUUAAAGAGUUCGUAGGUGGUUGAAAUAGUUGGUGGUGAAAUCCCAGAGCUUAACUCUGGAACUGCCAUCAAAACUUUUCAGCUAGAGUAUGAUAGAGGAAAGCAGAAUUUCUAGUGUAGAGGUGAAAUUCGUAGAUAUUAGAAAGAAUACCAAUUGCGAAGGCAGCUUUCUGGAUCAUUACUGACACUGAGGAACGAAAGCAUGGGUAGCGAAGAGGAUUAGAUACCCUCGUAGUCCAUGCCGUAAACGAUGUGUGUUAGACGUUGGAAAUUUAUUUUCAGUGUCGCAGGGAAACCGAUAAACACACCGCCUGGGGAGUACGACCGCAAGGUUAAAACUCAAAUGAAUUGACGGGGACCCGCACAAGUAGUGGAGCAUGUGGUUUAAUUCGAAGAUACGCGCAGAACCUUACCAACACUUGACAUGUUCGUCGCGACUCUAAGAGAUUAGAGUUUUCGGUUCGGCCGGACGAAACACAGGUGCUGCAUGGCUGUCGUCAGCUCGUGUCGUGAGAUGUUGGGUUAAGUCCCGCAACGAGCGCAACCCUCACUUUUAGUUGCCAUCAUUAAGUUGGGCACUCUGAAAGAACUGCCAGUGAUAAGCUGGAGGAAGGUGGGGAUGACGUCAAGUCCUCAUGGCCCUUACGUGUUGGGCUACACACGUGCUACAAUGGUAUCUACAACAGGAAGCAAGACUGCGAAGUUAAGCAAAUCCCUAAAAGAUACCUCAGUUCGGAUUGCACUCUGCAACUCGAGUGCAUGAAGCUGGAAUUACUAGUAAUCGUGGAUCAGCGUGCCACGGUGAAUGCGUUCCCGGGUCUUGUACUCACCGC
rnacentral:rRNA from 1 species